rnacentral:rRNA from 1 species
CGGGUGAGUAAUACAUCGGAACGUGUCCGCUCGUGGGGGACAACCAGCCGAAAGGUUGGCUAAUACCGCAUGAGUUCUACGGAAGAAAGAGGGGGACCCGCAAGGGCCUCUCGCGAGCGGAGCGGCCGAUGACUGAUUAGCCGGUUGGUGAGGUAACGGCUCACCAAAGCAACGAUCAGUAGCUGGUCUGAGAGGACGACCAGCCACACUGGGACUGAGACACGGCCCAGACUCCUACGGGAGGCAGCAGUGGGGAAUUUUGGACAAUGGGCGCAAGCCUGAUCCAGCUAUUCCGCGUGUGGGAUGAAGGCCCUCGGGUUGUAAACCACUUUUGUAGAGAACGAAAAGACACCUUUUAAAAAAGGGUGUUGCUGACGGUACUCUAAGAAUAAGCACCGGCUAACUACGUGCCAGCAGCCGCGGUAAUACGUAGGGUGCGAGCGUUAAUCGGAAUUACUGGGCGUAAAGGGUGCGCAGGCGGUUGAGUAAGACAGAUGUGAAAUCCCCGAGCUUAACUCGGGAAUGGCAUAUGUGACUGCUCGACUAGAGUGUGUCAGAGGGAGGUGGAAUUCCACGUGUAGCAGUGAAAUGCGUAGAUAUGUGGAAGAACACCGAUGGCGAAGGCAGCC